CUAGUACGCAGUACGAGUUAUUAUAACUCACUGUAAAUAUCAGCAUAGCAAAAAUAAUCUGCAAAAAUGACCUGCAAUCUGGGAUAUAAGGGGAAGUGGCACAAACAAAUAAACAAAAAACAAAGGAGGUUAGUCCGCCAUUACACGACUCACUCCCAAUCAAUAACCACCUUUACUGCUGGACGGACUAACCAAAACAAAAUUACAAAUCAAUCAAAAGAACGAAAUAAGAACAGCAGAGACAGCACAGCUUAAAAACACAAACAACAUUAUUGAUUAAAAUAUUACCCAAUAAAAUAUCAAUUUUAUGAAACCAUUCAAAAUCACAAAGCUAAAAAAAACACUCAAUAUGCCUACAAUAUUGAUCACUUUCCCUGCACGCAGUCGAUCUAGGGCUUGAUCAAUUCUUCUAUUAAAACACUAAAAAAGUCCAACGACACACAUUAAAAAUGGGCACCUACAAUAACAAAUGAUCCAAACAAAAUGGCAAAAGUCUCUUACCGACAGUAUACCCACUCGCACCCAAGUGAAUUAAUCGCCUGUUUUUUUUCCACAGAAGAGCGUUGACUUCACCCCACACACCCACUACCUUUUCACAGCUCUUCAGCCAAUCACCUGGCAGAGAGCAACAAACUGCCAGGUCUGUGUGCUUCGGACUACUGGGAAUUAUGAUUAUACUGUGUCUUGUGGUCCUCCUCCUACUGCUUUUGCUGGUCCUUGUAUUUUUCUGUCUAAAAAAAAAAAAGAGAAAUUGCAGCUUCAUGACUCUGGAGACACUGGAGGAAUCCUACUCAAAUCUAACACAGAGGCCCCAGAGGACAGCAUGG